UGCAAUCAGCGUCAGUAACAAAUUAAUAAUUACAACUUUCAACAACGGAUCUCUUGGUUCUGGCAUCGAUGAAGAACGCAGCGAAAUGCGAUAAGUAGUGUGAAUUGCAGAAUUCAGUGAAUCAUCGAAUCUUUGAACGCACAUUGCGCCCUUUGGUAUUCCAAAGGGCAUGCCUGUUCGAGCGUCAUUUGUACCCUCAAGCUUUGCUUGGUGUUGGGCGUCUUGUCUCUAGCUUUGCUGGAGACUCGCCUUAAAGUAAUUGGCAGCCGGCCUACUGGUUUCGGAGCGCAGCACAAGUCGCACUCUCUAUCAGCAAAGGUCUAGCAUCCAUUAAGCCUUUUUUUUCAACUUUUGACCUCGGAUCAGGUAGGGAUACCCGCUGAACUUAAGCAUAUCAAUAAGCGGAGGAA
rnacentral:rRNA from 1 species